rnacentral:rRNA from 1 species
UACAGAGGUCUCAAGCGUUGUUCGGAUUCAUUGGGCGUAAAGGGUGCGUAGGCGGCGCGGUAAGUCGGAUGUGAAAUCUCGGGGCUUAACUCCGAAACUGCAUUCGAUACUGCCGUGCUUGAGGACUGGAGAGGAGACUGGAAUUUACGGUGUAGCGGUGAAAUGCGUAGAUAUCGGAAGGAACAUCAGUGGCGAAAGCGGCUUCCUGGACCAGUACCGACGUUCAGGCACGAAAGCGUGGGGAGCAAACAGG